GGGAGGAGGCUGCAGAAGAGCUCAUCCUGAGGUGAUGGGACUGAGAUGAGCCAAUUGACUGCUGCGUGUCACCUAAGGACCAAGGCAGGCCAUCUGUGGGGAUACACCCUGUGCAGGCAGCACUCUGCCUUACCUGACAUUCCUGACAGGGUGAGAAAGGUCACAUGACAAUAAACAGUAGAGGACAGUAGGUGAGACAACACUUGCCCUGAACAGCUCUCCUAGCUGGCAAUCUAGCAGGGACCAGGGAAGGGUCAUGCAGCACACUACCAGUCUGCCAGGGAAUGAGCCACCUUAGGCUCCGGCAAGGAGGUGCCUGGUGGGAGGAGGUCUUUGACAGCAGGGAGGGAGGGGCUCCCUUGCUCUGGUCUGUGUCCCAGAGCUUCUGCAGCUGCUGUGAUUCCUAGGAAUGGCAGAAUGGAAGCUUCACCUUGCUUAGCAUGUAAAUUCAGUUGGCAUUAUUUUCCACAUUCACAAAGCAGCCUAAUUCUGACCCGCUUGGUGGGUCCUCCCUUCAAAGAUCUGGGUCAGCUCCACAAGGCCAGCUGAGCACAGACAGCAGCAGCUCUUCCUCAUGUCUAAGUCUCAGAUCUAGAGUCCACGAGGCCCUUCCUGCAAGAUUCUAAUUUUCCUGGAUUCCAACCUCUUGGUGUGUGUGUGUGUGUGUGUGUGUGUGUCCAGGCCCCAACGGCUUCACAACAUUGUCUCACAACACUUAAAAACUGAAAACAGUAUCCAGCUUUCCUAGGAAACAGAAGAGAGGUACACACUGCACACUCUGAACUCACUGUAUGAGGCAAGCACAGCCUUUAUCACCAGUCCUCACAGGAGCAUCUUAACAGAGGACAUUACACCAGUCACCUGCUGGACACUGCAAAAACCCUCCUCAGAAUGUCAGUAAAUUCAAUUGCAUGGCCAAGGGUCAGGGUCUUGUCCUGGUAAUGCAAGCCUGACUCGGCACUGAGAUGUCUAUCCGAGGCUCUCUCAUUUCACCAACCCCUUCAAAUAAAGGAUGUGUGGGUUGGUGGGGCAUGGCUUUAAUCCCAGUACUGGGGGGUCAGAGGCGGAGGCAGGCAGAUCUCUAAGUUCCAGGCCACCCAGAGUUACAUGGUAAGACCCUAUCUCAAGAAAAAAAAAUCACUUUCCCACCUCC
rnacentral:lncRNA from 1 species